rfam:Erinaceus europaeus unplaced genomic scaffold scaffold00095, whole genome shotgun sequence
AGAUGUGAGGGUAAUCUGGCUGCGACAUCUGUCACCCCAUUGAUCGCCAGGGUUGAUUUGGCUGAUCUGGCUGACUAGGUGGGUGUCCCCUUCCUCCCUCACCACCUCCAUGUGUGUCCCUCCCAAAGCUGUACUCUCGGUCCCUUCCCCAGAAUAGAGACGGACCGGUCUUUCGUUGAGGGUGUACAAGUAGCUGCGCUCCCCUGCUAGAACCUCCAAACAAGCUCUCAAGAUUCAAUUCUGAGGAUAUUACUGGAAUAGUAGGAUGUCAGUGGUACUAAGACUGCUCCCCAAGCAAAGAGUUAAAACAUGGGAUCUUAAUGGCAU